rnacentral:rRNA from 1 species
CCUACGGGAGGCUGCAGUGAGGAAUAUUGGUCAAUGGACGAGAGUCUGAACCAGCCAAGUAGCGUGAAGGAUGACUGCCCUAUGGGUUGUAAACUUUUUUUAUAUGGGAAUAAAAUGUUCCACGUGUGGGAUUUUGUAUGUACCAUAUGAAUAAGGAUCGGCUAACUCCGUGCCAGCAGCCGCGGUAAUACGGAGGAUCCGAGCGUUAUCCGGAUUUAUUGGGUUUAAAGGGAGCGUAGGUGGAUUGUUAAGUCAGUUGUGAAAGUUUGCGGCUCAACCGUAAAAUUGCAGUUGAAACUAGCAGUCUUGAGUACAGUAGAGGUGGGCGGAAUUCGUGGUGUAGCGGUGAAAUGCUUAGAUAUCACGAAGAACUCCGAUUGCGAAGGCAGUUCACUGGACUGCAACUGACACUGAGGCUCGAAAGUGUGGGUAUCAAACAGGAUUAGAUACCCCAGUAGUC